rnacentral:rRNA from 1 species
GAUCCUUCGGGAUAGUGGCGGACGGGUGAGUAACGCGUGGGAAUCUGCCCUCAGGAGGGGGAUAACGGCUGGAAACGGCCGCUAAUACCCCAUAUGCCGAGAGGUGAAAUGAAUUUCGCCUGAGGAUGAGCCCGCGUCUGAUUAGCUAGUUGGUGGGGUAACGGCCCACCAAGGCGACGACCAGUAGCUGGUCUGAGAGGAUGAUCAGCCACACUGGGACUGAGACACGGCCCAGACUCCUACGGGAGGCAGCAGUGGGGAAUUUUCCGCAAUGGGCGAAAGCCUGACGGAGCAACGCCGCGUGAGGGAUGAAGGCCUCUGGGCUGUAAACCUCUUUUCUCAAGGAAGAAGACCUGACGGUACUUGAGGAAUAAGCCACGGCUAAUUCCGUGCCAGCAGCCGCGGUAAUACGGGAGUGGCAAGCGUUAUCCGGAAUUAUUGGGCGUAAAGCGUCCGCAGGCGGCUUUGUAAGUCUGUUGUUAAAGCGUGGAGCUUAACUCCAUUUAAGCAAUGGAAACUACAAGGCUGGAGUGUGGUAGGGGCAGAGGGAAUUCCCGGUGUAGCGGUGAAAUGCGUAGAUAUCGGGAAGAACACCAGUGGCGAAGGCGCUCUGCUGGGCCAUAACUGACGCUCAUGGACGAAAGCCAGGGGAGCGAAAGGGAUUAGAUACCCCUGUAGUCCUGGCCGUAAACGAUGAACACUAGGUGUCGGGGGAAUCGACCCCCUCGGUGUCGUAGCCAACGCGUUAAGUGUUCCGCCUGGGGAGUACGCACGCAAGUGUGAAACUCAAAGGAAUUGACGGGGGCCCGCACAAGCGGUGGAGUAUGUGGUUUAAUUCGAUGCAACGCGAAGAACCUUACCAGGGUUUGACAUCCUGCGAACCCCUGAGAAAUCGGGGGGUGCCUUCGGGACCGCGGAGACAGGUGGUGCAUGGCUGUCGUCAGCUCGUGUCGUGAGAUGUUGGGUUAAGUCCCGCAACGAGCGCAACCCACGUCUUUAGUUGCCAGCAUUCAGUUGGGCACUCUAGAGAGACCGCCGGUGAUAAACCGGAGGAAGGUGUGGAUGACGUCAAGUCAUCAUGCCCCUUACAUCCUGGGCUACACACGUACUACAAUGCUACGGACAAAGGGCAGCAAGCUCGCGAGAGUUAGCAAAUCCCAUAAACCGUGGCUCAGUUCAGAUCGUAGGCUGCAACUCGCCUACGUGAAGGAGGAAUCGCUAGUAAUCGCAGGUCAGCAUACUGCGGUGAAUACGUUCCCGGGCCUUGUACACACCGCCCGUCACAC